UACGUAGGGGGCAAGCGUUGUCCGGAUUUAUUGGGCGUAAAGAGCGUGUAGGCGGUUUGGUAGGUCCGUUGUGAAAACUCGAGGCUCAACCUCGAGACGCCGAUGGAAACCAUCAGACUAGAGUCCGGAAGAGGAGAGUGGAACUCCUGGUGUAGCGGUGAAAUGCGCAGAUAUCAGGAAGAACACCAACGGCGAAAGCACUCUGCUGGGCCGACACUGACACUGAGAGACGAAAGCUAGGGGAGCGAAUGGG
rnacentral:rRNA from 1 species